rnacentral:tRNA from 1 species
GCCCGGGUUGGUCAGCUUGGAGACCACCUGCUGCCAGUGGGAGAGGUCCGGGGCCUUGGUCCAGAUGUUGAGCUUCUCGACCACCUGGUCG